ACAGCACAAAAACAAUGAUGAAGAACACAGUAACUAAGAAACAAAAUACAGGUCCUCAAGUUCCAGCAACAUCCUUCAUUUAUAUUCCUCCAAUCUUCUUGACAUCUUUCCUGUAGCACAGUGCAAAGAAAAGGAAUAGUGUGUUAAUGUUCAUGGGUUCAUGAACCGCUCAGACAUCUUAUGGCA